rnacentral:rRNA from 1 species
UACGUAGGGUGCAAGCGUUGUCCGGAAUUAUUGGGCGUAAAGAGCUCGUAGGCGGCCUGUCACGUCGGAUGUGAAAACUCGGGGCUCAACCCCGAGCCUGCAUACGAUACGGGCAGACUUGAGUUCGGCAGGGGAGACUGGAAUUCAUGGUGUAGCAGUGAAAUGCGUAGAGAUCAUGAGGAAGACCAGUGGCGAAGGCGGGUCUCUGGACAGUUCCUGACACUGAGGCACGAAGGCCAGGGGAGCAAACGGG